rnacentral:ncRNA from 2 species
AGUUCAUCCAGAGGGGACGAGGGAACGGCCCUACGACUCCCCGGCAACCGGCCGACCGAUCGGACACGGUGCCAACUCCGACCAGGUCGAAAGCCGAUCUGGUGCAGAUGAUGA